rnacentral:rRNA from 1 species
CCUACGGGUGGCAGCAGUGGGGAAUAUUGGGCAAUGGACGCAAGUCUGACCCAGCAACGCCGCGUGAAGGAAGACGGCUUUCGGGUUGUUAACUUCUUUUAAGGGGGAAGAGCAGAAGACGGUACCUCUUGACUAAGCCGCGGCUAACUACGUGCCAUCAGCCGCGGCCAUACGUAGGUGGCCAGCGUUGUGCGGAUUUCCUGGGUGUAAAGGGCUUGUAGCCGGUGAGGCAAGUCCGAUGUGAAAUCCACGGGCUCAACCCGUGAACUGCAUUUGACACUGGUUCGCUUGAGUGUCGGAGAGGUAAUCGGAAUUCGUUGUGUAGCGGUGAAAUGCGUAGAUAUAAGGAAGAACACCAGUGGCGAAGGCGGAUUACAGGACGAUAACUGACGGUGAGGCGCGAAAGCGUGGGGAGCAAACAGGAUUAGAUACCCUGGGAGUC